rnacentral:lncRNA from 1 species
AUGAGCAUAAGAAAAAAAAGGAUGGAUGGAUUGAUAGAUGGAUGGAGUUUUUGGUACCUUAUUCUUGUCAUUGUCCCUCAGUCCUCCCUUGCUUUCUGCACCAGGUUUGUCUUCUUUAUAUUUCUCUCCCUUGUGUGUUUGUGUCCGUGUUUGUGGGCGAGACUCAAUGCAGCAAUCAACCACCCAUUCCUGAAGGUCGCAUCAGGGAGCCACUACUUAAGAUCUCCAGAUUCCCUUCUCUGGUGUGCUGAGCCUGACGCUGAGUUUGAGAGAGAGUGUUACCUGUAAAUAUUGAAUGUGUGGAUUCCCUACCUCCCUGGACCCACCUGGAGCACUAUUCCCCUGUUGCUUUGUGCCACGGUGUAAAUAUCUAUUCACUGGAAAUAAAAGCACUGAACUGUGAUCUUCUAAACCUUGCAUCUGAGUCCUACCUGCCCAUUAGCCCUGAUAAUUUUAGUGUAUUAUGAGUCUUAGGUAUUUGUAUUAUUGACUUUUUGGGUGUUGUUUCACCUUUAUUAUUUUUCUAAAGAGGAGGUUUUAAAAUUUGAAUUAAAUUAAAUUUAAAUGUAAAUCACACAUUAGUGGAAUUUCCUGUUUCUGUUUCUUUUGCUUGGCUUCUGGCUUUUGAAAAAUUAAGAGGAAGAGAAGAAAAGAAAAAUUGUGUUUGCUAAUGUCAUACUAUAAGCUGUGCACCUGUUUUUUGCUUUAAUUUAAUUUAACUUAAUUUUAGUUUGUCCUUACUGUAAAUCACUAUAUAUCUAUAUUUAUUCCACUUAGGUUUUGGGCUAAAAGGGUUUGGUGCCACCCAUUCUGAUGAAAUCAAUCAGAUGUUAAUGUCAUGACUUCUUAAUGUACCUAUGACCGUAAUGCAUUAUGGAUGAGCCAUUGAUUCCUAAUGGCUGGUUAAUGUAGAGCAUGUGACCAGGCUGUGGUUUCAUGAUAGAUGGAUAGAAACAAACCUCUGUUUUUAGGUCUUUCAGCGCCUCUGUCAUGUUCUUAUACACACACACACACACGCACACACGCAGACACACACACACACACACACACACACACGCACACACACACACACACACACACACACACAUAUGCACAACACAGGCCUGCAAUAUGUUUCGCAAUAACAGACUCUUGAAACACUGAGGGCAUCACUUGAUAACUGCACAUUUUAAUUGUUAUUUAUUAUAUUUUAUAGUAAAAUUCAUAUAACUAUAAAUAGAAAACAUCAAACAUUAUGUGCUUCCUAAAGGUUGAAGGCGCAGAAUACUGAGUACUGAAAUCAAACACCUGUGCAAUUGGAAAUCUUCUUCUUAUCAUUUUUUAUUUUAAGCAGCAGGAAUAAAACCUUAAAGAUGAUGAAAUGACGACGACAGUAUGCUGACUUUAAACUUUACCAGCUCUGGCCUCAUAGCAUCUGCUUUUGUUGUGCCAUACUGGCUCUUUUAAACUGUGUGCUUGUCUUUUGGUGUAUUGCUUGUCACCUUGUCCAUAAAAAGAAUGGGCCAAUCAAACUCCAUCCAAACCUAUUAACUUAUUUAAAACACACUGACU